ensembl:snoRNA
UUGGCCCUGAAUCAAGGCUAGUGGCUUGCUGUAGCCGCUGGUUUCAAGCAGGAGCCCAAAGAAUCGUCUUUCUGUGGUCUGUUGGCUGUUCCAUAACUUUGUACUGGAACAAUCAAUUCAGUUGGAAGCAACAGUC